UAGGGAAUCUUCGGCAAUGGGGGCAACCCUGACCGAGCAACGCCGCGUGAGUGAAGAAGGUUUUCGGAUCGUAAAGCUCUGUUGUAAGAGAAGAACGUGUGUGAGAGUGGAAAGUUCACACAGUGACGGUAACUUACCAGAAAGGGACGGCUAACUACGUGCCAGCAGCCGCGGUAAUACGUAGGUCCCGAGCGUUGUCCGGAUUUAUUGGGCGUAAAGCGAGCGCAGGCGGUUUAAUAAGUCUGAAGUUAAAGGCAGUGGCUUAACCAUUGUUCGCUUUGGAGACUGUUAAACUUGAGUGCAGAAGGGGAGAGUGGAAUUCCAUGUGUAGCGGUGAAAUGCGUAGAUAUAUGGAGGAACACCGGUGGCGAAAGCGGCUCUCUGGUCUGUAACUGACGCUGAGGCUCGAAAGCGUGGGGAGCAAACAGG
rnacentral:rRNA from 1 species